rnacentral:rRNA from 1 species
CGGGACGGGUGAGUAACGCGUGGGUAACCUGCCUCAUACAGGGGGAUAACAGCUAGAAAUGGCUGCUAAUACCGCAUAAGACCACAGUACUGCAUGGUACAGUGGUAAAAACUCCGGUGGUAUGAGAUGGACCCGCGUCUGAUUAGGUAGUUGGUGAGGUAACGGCCCACCAAGCCGACGAUCAGUAGCCGACCUGAGAGGGUGACCGGCCGCAUUGGGACUGAGACACGGCCCAG